UGAACGCUGGCGGCAGGCCUAACACAUGCAAGUCGAGCGGAUGAAGGGAGCUUGCUCCUGGAUUCAGCGGCGGACGGGUGAGUAAUGCCUAGGAAUCUGCCUGGUAGUGGGGGAUAACGUCCGGAAACGGGCGCUAAUACCGCAUACGUCCUGAGGGAGAAAGUGGGGGAUCUUCGGACCUCACGCUAUCAGAUGAGCCUAGGUCGGAUUAGCUAGUUGGUGGGGUAAAGGCCUACCAAGGCGACGAUCCGUAACUGGUCUGAGAGGAUGAUCAGUCACACUGGAACUGAGACACGGUCCAGACUCCUACGGGAGGCAGCAGUGGGGAAUAUUGGACAAUGGGCGAAAGCCUGAUCCAGCCAUGCCGCGUGUGUGAAGAAGGUCUUCGGAUUGUAAAGCACUUUAAGUUGGGAGGAAGGGCAGUAAGUUAAUACCUUGCUGUUUUGACGUUACCAACAGAAUAAGCACCGGCUAACUUCGUGCCAGCAGCCGCGGUAAUACGAAGGGUGCAAGCGUUAAUCGGAAUUACUGGGCGUAAAGCGCGCGUAGGUGGUUCAGCAAGUUGGAUGUGAAAUCCCCGGGCUCAACCUGGGAACUGCAUCCAAAACUACUGAGCUAGAGUACGGUAGAGGGUGGUGGAAUUUCCUGUGUAGCGGUGAAAUGCGUAGAUAUAGGAAGGAACACCAGUGGCGAAGGCGACCACCUGGACUGAUACUGACACUGAGGUGCGAAAGCGUGGGGGGCAAACAGGAUUAGAUACCCUGGUAGUCCACGCCGUAAACGAUGUCGACUAGCCGUUGGGAUCCUUGAGAUCUUAGUGGCGCAGCUAACGCGAUAAGUCGACCGCCUGGGGAGUACGGCCGCAAGGUUAAAACUCAAAUGAAUUGACGGGGGCCCGCACAAGCGGUGGAGCAUGUGGUUUAAUUCGAAGCAACGCGAAGAACCUUACCUGGCCUUGACAUGCUGAGAACUUUCCAGAGAUGGAUUGGUGCCUUCGGGAACUCAGACACAGGUGCUGCAUGGCUGUCGUCAGCUCGUGUCGUGAGAUGUUGGGUUAAGUCCCGUAACGAGCGCAACCCUUGUCCUUAGUUACCAGCACCUCGGGUGGGCACUCUAAGGAGACUGCCGGUGACAAACCGGAGGAAGGUGGGGAUGACGUCAAGUCAUCAUGGCCCUUACGGCCAGGGCUACACACGUGCUACAAUGGUCGGUACAAAGGGUUGCCAAGCCGCGAGGUGGAGCUAAUCCCAUAAAACCGAUCGUAGUCCGGAUCGCAGUCUGCAACUCGACUGCGUGAAGUCGGAAUCGCUAGUAAUCGUGAAUCAGAAUGUCACGGUGAAUACGUUCCCGGGCCUUGUACACACCGCCCGUCACACCAUGGGAGUGGGUUGCUCCAGAAGUAGCUAGUCUAACCGCAAGGGGGACGGUUACCACGGAGUGAUUCAUGACUGGGGUGAAGUCGUAACAAGGU
rnacentral:rRNA from 1 species